ACACCACGGCUCGCGAAGCACGACGCUUUCCAAACGCGAGAUUUCAGACCCACCAUGCUCUGGCCCACGACGUGAAUGACACCGUUGGACAGACAGUUCGGUAAGCAAAAUUAAAACCGAAAAUGGCAAAGAAGUCCAGGUUACAGGUGCAUGUGCCUGGUUCAGCGACUCCCGCGUUGUCUACGUAAAUCCAAAUGGCGCUGGGUGCACUAACACUAUUACAAGAGCUGAAUUGGCAGCAAUUCGUGCUGCCCUCGCAGAAUUUGGUGGCGAAGGUAAAGAAUUUGCAAAUAAGAAGCUC
rnacentral:lncRNA from 1 species